AUCGAACGCUGGCGGCAGGCCUAACACAUGCAAGUCGAGCGAGCGGCGGACGGGUGAGUAAUGUAUGGGGACUGCCCGAUAGAGGGGGAUCACAACUGGAAACGGUAGCUAAUCCCGCAUACUAUCGGCUUACCGAUAUGGGAGUAGCUGGUAGGUGAGGUAAUGGCUCACCUAGGCUACGACCCCUAGCUGGUCUGAGAGGAUGAUCAGCCACACUGGGACUGCGACACGGCCCAGCCUCCUACGGAGGCAGCAUUGGGGAAUGUUGCACAAUGGGCGCAAGCCUGAUGCGGCAAUGCGGCGUGUAUGAGGAAGGCCCUAGGGUUGUAAAGUACUGUCAGUGGGGAGGCGUUACCGACAGAGGAAGCACCGGCUAACUCCGUGCCAGCAGCCGCGGUAAUUC
rnacentral:rRNA from 1 species